rnacentral:rRNA from 1 species
CCACCACCAAAGCAUUCUCUGGUGUUGAAGGCCCUGCAAAGCAGCAUCGCGGUGGCGGAGCGUCGUUUGCGACGCCCAACACACAAAACAAGCGGUGAGUGCUUUGGGGUGGGGUGACUGCGUACCUUUUGUAUAAUGGGUCAGCGACUUAUAUUCUGUAGCAAGGUUAACCGUAUAGGGGAGCCGCAGGGAAACCGAGUCUUAAUUGGGCGUUAAGUUGCAGGGUAUAGACCCGAAACCCGGUGAUCUAGCCAUGGGCAGGUUGAAGGUUGGGUAACACUAACUGGAGGACCGAACCGACUAAUGUUGAAAAAUUAGCGGAUGACCUGUGGCUGGGGGUGAAAGGCCAAUCAAACCGGGAGAUAGCUGGUUCUCCCCGAAAGCUAUUUAGGUAGCGCCUCGUGAAUUCAUCUCCGGGGGUAGAGCACUGUUUCGGCUAGGGGGCCAUCCCGGCUUACCAACCCGAUGCAAACUGCGAAUACCGGAGAAUGUUAUCACGGGAGACACACGGCGGGUGCUAACGUCCGUCGUGAAGAGGGAAACAACCCAGACCGCCAGCUAAGGUCCCAAAGUCAUGGUUAAGUGGGAAACGAUGUGGGAAGGCCCAGACAGCCAGGAUGUUGGCUUAGAAGCAGCCAUCAUUUAAAGAAAGCGUAAUAGCUCACUGGUCGAGUCGGCCUGCGCGGAAGAUGUAACGGGGCUAAACCAUGCACCGAAGCUGCGGCAGCGACACUGUG